rnacentral:rRNA from 1 species
UUAAGUAGUAAAGGGCGCACGGAGGAUGCCUUGGCACUAGGAGCCGAUGAAGGACGUGACAAACGACGAAAUGCUACGGGGAGCUGUAAGUAAGCAAAGAGCCGUAGAUAUCCGAAUGGGGGAACCCACCGCUUUUAAAAGGGCGGUACGCGAAAGCGAGGUAACGCAGGGAACUGAAACAUCUAAGUACCUGUAGGAAGAGAAAGAAAAAUCGAUUUCCUUAGUAGCGGCGAGCGAAAAGGAAGGAGCCCAAACCAAUGUGCUUGCAUAUUGGGGUUGUAGGACUCUCAACAAAUCGUAUGACGAAGUAUAGUAGAACAAGCUGGAAAGUUAGACCGUAGAAGGUAAAAGUCCUGUAUACGAAAUGCUAAGUUGGCGAGAGAGAGCACCUGAGUACGGCGGAACACGAGGAAUUCCGUCGGAAUCUACCAGGACCAUCUGGUAAGGCUAAAUACUACCUAGUGACCGAUAGUGAACCAGUACCGUGAGGGAAAGGUGAAAAGAACCCCGGGAGGGGAGUGAAAGAGAACCUGAAACCGUGUGCUUACAAGUAGUCAGAGCCCUUUCGGGGGUGAUGGCGUGCCUUUUGUAGAAUGAACCGGCGAGUUACUUUAUCAUGCGAGGUUAAGUGGAAGACAUGGAGCCGAAGCGAAAGCGAGUCUUAAUAGGGCGAAAUAGUAUGAUGGAGUAGACCCGAAACCAAGUGAUCUACCCAUGGCCAGGUUGAAGUUUAGGUAACACUGAAUGGAGGACCGAACCAGGACACGUUGAAAAGUGUUUGGAUGAGCUGUGGGUAGCGGAGAAAUUCCAAUCGAACUUGGAAAUAGCUGGUUCUCUCCGAAAUAGCUUUAGGGCUAGCCUCGUUGUGAGUUUACUGGAGGUAGAGCACUGUUUGGACUAGGGGCCCAUCCCGGGUUACCGAAUUCAGACAAACUCCGAAUGCCAGAUAAAUAUCAACGGGAGUCAGACUGCGGGUGAUAAGGUUCGUAGUCGAAAGGGAAACAGCCCAGACCGCCAGCUAAGGUCCCAAAUUGUAUGUUAAGUGGAAAAGGAUGUGAUGAUGCACAGACAACCAGGAUGUUGGCUUAGAAGCAGCCACCAUUUAAAGAGUGCGUAAUAGCUCACUGGUCGAGUGACAUCGCGCCGAAAAUGUACCGGGGCUAAACAUACAACCGAAGCUGCGGAUAUAACUAAUGUUAUAUGGUAGGAGAGCGUUCUAACAUCAUAGAAGCUGAGCUGUAAGGCGAGGUGGAGAGGUUAGAAGUGAGAAUGCCGGUGUGAGUAGCGAAAGAUAGGUGAGAAUCCUAUCCACCGAAUGACUAAGGUUUCCAGAGGAAGGCUCGUCCGCUCUGGGUAAGUCGGGACCUAAGGUGAAGCCGAAUGGUGAAGCCGAUGGACAACAGGUAGAAAUUCCUGUACCACCAAAUAUCGUUUGAGAGAAGUGGGGACAGAGGAGGCUAAUUGAUCGUCCUGAUGGAAUAGGACGUCUAAGCACAAAGGUUGAGUAGUAGGCAAAUCCGCUGCUCAUAAGACUGAAGUGUGAUGGGGAGCGAAAUAUAGUAGCGAAGUCAAUGAAGCCAAACUCUCAAGAAAAGCCGCUAUCGAGAUAAGAGGUGCCCGUACCGCAAACCGACACAGGUAGUUGGGAAGAGAAUUCUAAGGUGAGCGAGAGAACCAUCGUUAAGGAACUCGGCAAAAUGACCCCGUAACUUCGGGAGAAGGGGUGCCUACGAGAGUAGGCCGCAGUGAAUAGGCCCAAGCGACUGUUUAACAAAAACACAGGUCUCUGCAAAACCGUAAGGUGAAGUAUAGGGGCUGACGCCUGCCCGGUGCUGGAAGGUUAAGAGGAGUGCUUAGCGUAAGCGAAGGUAUGAAUUGAAGCCCCAGUAAACGGCGGCCGUAACUAUAACGGUCCUAAGGUAGCGAAAUUCCUUGUCGGGUAAGUUCCGACCCGCACGAAAGGCGUAACGAUUUGGGCACUGUCUCAACGAUGGACUCGGUGAAAUCAUAGUACCUGUGAAGAUGCAGGUUACCCGCGACAGGACGGAAAGACCCCAUGGAGCUUUACUGUAG